rnacentral:rRNA from 1 species
UACGGAGGGUGCAAGCGUUGUCCGGAAUCACUGGGCGUAAAGGGCGCGUAGGCGGCUCAUGAAGGCUGUGGUGAAAGUCCGGGGCUCAACCUCGGAUCGGCCGUGGCGACUCGUGGGCUGGAGCACUGUAGAGGCGGGUGGAAUUCCGGGUGUAGCGGUGGAAUGCGUAGAGAUCCGGAAGAACACCAGGGGCGAAGGCGGCAUCCUGGACCACGACUGACGCUGAGUGAGCGAAAGCCAGGGGAGCAAACGGG